ACUGUAGUCUCUAGUACUGUAAAUAGAGAGAUAGUACUGUACUGUAGUCUGUACUGUAGUCUCUAGUACUGUAAAUAGAGAGAUUGUACUGUAGUCUGUACUGUAGUCUCUAGUACUGUAAAUAGAGAGAUAGUACUGUACUGUAGUCUGUACUGUAGUCUCUAGUACUGUAAAUAGAGAGAUAGGUCUGUACUGUAGUCUGUACUGUAGUCUGUACUGUAUUCUAGUACUGUAAAUAGAGAGAUAAUACUGUAGUCUCUAGUACUGUAAAUAGAGAGAUAGGUCUGUACUGUAGUCUCUAGUACUGUAAAUAGAGAGAUAGGUCUGUACUGUAGUCUCUAGUACUGUAAAUAGAGAGAUAGGUCUGUACUGUAGUCUCUAGUACUGUAAAUAGAGAGAUUGUACUGUAGUCUCUAGUACUGUAAAUAGAGAGGUAGUCUGUACUGUAGUCUCUAGUACUGUAAAUAGAUAUUCCCAGUCAACCCGGUCGAAAGCCUUCUCAGCAUCAAGAGAGCUGACGACCUCUGGCUGUAGAGUUGAGUGGGCUGAAUAAAGAACAUUACAUAGCCGGUUCAUACUAUAGAAAGAUUGUCCACCUGAGAUACAUCCGGUUUGGUCACAGUUAAUUAUAUUAGGCAUCACUGUCUCUGAACGGCACGAGACGACCCUAGUGAGAAUGUUAUGAUUGCAGCACAGAAGGCUUACAGGGCGGUAUGAGCCACAGUCUAGGGGAUUCUGGUCUUUUUUAAGCAAAACCGAAAUAGUCGCCUGGGUGUCUGUGGCAGUUUCUGACUAGAAAGGAUUUCAAUGUACAUUGAGCUGAGGAUAGGGGAUAAUUUAGAGGAGAAGGCUUUAUAAAAUUCAACAGGGAAGCCAUCGGGCCCAGGGGCUUUACCACUCUGCAUGGACUGGAUUGCCAGAGUAGCUUCAUCAUCACUUAUUUAGGCAUCCCAUGUUAGUUUGUUCAUCUGAAUUGAGACAGAGUUCCAGAGUGUCUAGAAAUGCAUGUAUACGAGAUGUGUCAGGAAGAGCCUCAGACGAGUAAAGAGCAGAGUAGAGUUGCUUAAAUUGAUUGUUGAUUUCUUUGGGAUAGGUAGAAGUUAACCUCUUGAGAUGUUUCUGCAACCAGGAAAUGAACAGGAUUUCUGAGGCUACGUUUUGCAUUAUCUCCUUAUAUGGCUGUGAAUGCGACAGGAAUGAGCCUAGCCUUUCUAUCGUUUCCCCAAGGGGUCUGGAGCAUUGUGACGUAUUUGCAGGCAUAUCAUUGGAAGAUUGACCAUAAGAGACUACAUUUGCCAAGUGUCGGCACGGUGUCCUGCGUGGAAAUUGGUGCGCAAGACUCAGCUGCUGGUAUUUUUCCAUGGGAUUCUGAGAAAAACCAUGCUUCCAUGAACGGCAUAUCAAUGAAGAGAUAUUUGACAAAACACCUUGAGGAUUGAUUCAAACAACGUUUGCCAUGUUUCGGUCGAUAUUAUGGAGUUAAUUCGGAAAAAAGUUAGACGUUUUGGUGACGGUUCGUUUCGGUAGCCAAAUGUGUAGUAACAAAACGGAGCGAUUUGUCCAACACAAAGAAUCUUUCAGGAAAAACUGGACAUCUGCUAUGUAACUGAGAGUCUCCUCAUUGAAACAUCUGAAGUUCUUCAAAGGUAAAUUAUUUUAUUUGAUUCCUUUGCUGGUUUUUGUGAAUAUGUUGCGUGCUAAAUGCUACGCUAAAUGCUAAGCUAGCCAUCAACACUCUUACACAAAUGAUUGAUUUUCUAUGGUUCAAAAGCAUAUUUUGAAAAUCUCAGAUGACAGUGUUGUUAAGAAAAGGCUAAGCUUGAGAACAGGCAUAUUUAUUUCAUUUCAUUUGCGAUUUUUAGAAAUCGUUAACGUUGAGUUAUGGUAAUGAGCUUGAGGCUGUAGUCACGAUACCGGAUCCGGGAUGGCUCGGCGCAAGAGGUUAAAUCAGCUGCAACACAGAUUUCAGGUAUGGUGCUGCUAGCAGCGGAUUGUCGAAGCUGGUGAGAUAACAACUUGCUUUCUCUCUGUGUUCAGAGAAUCUUUAUCUCGACUUAAACAAAAGCUGCUCCGUUUGUUUGGUGGAAAGAUUGUCAAAUUCUGAUUAGUGUAGCAGUCUCUCUGCUACAGUCUCUCUGCUAGUUCAGGAAUCGGAGACUAGGCAUAUCUGUUGUCCACAUCUAGAAUGAGUUGUUAUAGCGUCGCUAAGCGUUUGCUGUUCGUUGUCAUAUGCUGUGUAUGAAAUAAUGUAGCCCCUUAGAUAAGGUUUUAACAUCUCACACACAGUAGAAUGAGACAUGUCAGGGGUGACAUUGAUCUGUAAAAAGACAUCAAUGUGAGUUUAUAUGCAUUUUUUAAAGGCACUACAGGAUAGUAGUAGUGGGUCAAGUCGUCACGUGAGUUGUGACACAGUACUGUCCAGAGAGUGGAUAUCUAGCUGGACAGGUCUAUGGUCUGAGAUAGGACAGGUCUACGGUCUGAGAUAGGACAGGUCUACGGUCUGAGAUAGGACAGGUCUACGGUCUGAGAUAGGACAGGUCUACGGUCUGAGAUAGGACAGGUCUAUAGUCUGAGAUAGGACAGGUCUAUGGUCUGAGAUAGGACAGGUAUAUGGUCUGAGAUAGGACAGGUCUAUGGUCUGAGAUAGGACAGGUCUAUGGUCUGAGAUAGGACAGGUCUAUGGUCUGAGAUAGGACAGGUCUAUGGUCUGAGAUAGGACAGGUCUAUGGUCUGAGAUAGGACAGGUCUACGGUCUGAGAUAGGACAGGUCUAUGGUCUGAGAUAGGACAGGUCUACGGUCUGAGACAAGGAUAUUGUGAUAUUGGCUAUUAGUUACAAAAGGAAGAAUUCUAUUGUCCAGCAGGAAAAAGUAAAUCCUAGUGUUUGAGCUGUGGACUGGAGGAAACAAGUAAAUCCUACAGUAUGAGCUGUGGACUGGAGGAAACAAGUCAAUCCUAGAGUAUGAGCUGUGGACUGGAGGAAACAAGUCAAUCCUAGAGUAUGAGCUGUGGACUGGAGGAAACAAGUCAAUCCUACAGUAUGAGCUGUGAACUGGAGGAAACAAGUCAAUCCUACAGUAUGAGCUGUGGACUGGAGGAAACAAGUCAAUCCUACAGUAUGAGCUGUGAACUGGAGGAAACAAGUCAAUCCUACAGUAUGAGCUGUGAACUGGAGGAAACAAGUCAAUCCUACAGUAUGAGCUGUGGACUGGAGGAAACAAGUCAAUCCUACAGUAUGAGCUGUGGACUGGAGGAAACAAGUCAAUCCUACAGUAUGAGCUGUGGACUGGAGGAAACAAGUCAAUCCUACAGUAUGAGCUGUGGACUGGAGGAAACAAGUCAAUCCUACAGUAUGAGCUGUGGACUGAAGGAAACAAGUCAAUCCUACAGUAUGAGCUGUGGACUGAAGGAAACAAGUCAAUCCUACAGUAUGAGCUGUGGACUGAAGGAAACAAGUCAAUCCUACAGUAUGAGCUGUGGACUGAAGGAAACAAGGAGUACUGUUUAGCAAUGUGAUUGCUCCUCCUCCAUGGAUUAGACAAAUUAUAGGAUUCUAGAAAGGAGUUAAACACUGCGCCUGAUUUUGAAAUUGCAUUGUUGGGCUUCGGGUCUGGAUCUGUCUCGACUUGGAUUCAAUACACAAUUGAAAUAUCCGCCCAACAUCCAAUGAUGAGAGUUAAGGUCGGGAAGUGUUGCGAUGAGGUCAGAGAACAGUUGAGCGUCAAUGUCCAGACUUAAGUCCUUAAGAUGAGCGUAACACUCGGCUACACCUGGUUAAUUCCUUUCACGUGCCAGCUGAUAAAGCAUGUGGAGUCCAUAGUAUGUUAAUUAGGCGUAGUCAUAGUAAUCGUAGUCAUAAUAAUCGUAGUCAUAGUAAUCAGAAAGGAAUGUUAGCCCGAUCACAUGGUCUGUGUGCUGAAAGGUCAGAGUAAGAAAAUACAACGAAAACCUUGGACCCCUAUGCUGUCCUUCCCCCUGUUGGAAGACUGCAUCUACCUCUCCUAGACUAGAGCAAAAUACUACCAUGUUAAACUGAUCCUCAGUAGAGCUCUAUCCAGUUUACACUUAGGGAAGGGCAUUCUGGAGGGAACCACCUCAGCCAUCCAAGGUAUCUUAUGCAUUACGUAUAUUUGAAGUGGGGAAGUUUACAUACACCUUAGCCAAAUACAGUGGGGCAAAAAAGUAUUUAGUCAGCCACCAAUUGUGCAAGUUCUCCCACUUAAAAAGAUGAGAGAGGCCUGUAAUUGUCAUCAUAGGUACACUUCAACUAUGGCAGACAAAAUGAGAAAAAAAAUCUAGAAAAUCACAUUGUAGGAUUUUUAAUGAAUUUAUUUGCAAAUUAUGGUGGAAAAUAAGUAUUUGGUCAAUAACAAAAGUUUAUCUCAAUACUUUGUUAUAUACCCUUUGUUGGCAAUGACAGAGGUCAAACGUUUUCCGUAAGUCUUCACAAGGUUUUCACACGCUGUUGCUGGUAUUUUGGCCCAUUCCUCCAUGCAGAUCUCCUCUAGAGCAGUGAUGUUUUGGGGCUGUUGCUGGGCAACACGGACUUUCAACUCCCUCCAAAGAUUUUCUAUGGGGUUGAGAUCUGGAGACUGGCUAGGCCUUUCCAGGACCUUGAAAUGCUUCUUACGAAGCCACUCCUUCAUUGCCUGGGCGAUGUGUUUGGAUCAUUGUCAUGCUGAAAGAUCCAGCCAUAUUUCAUCUUCAAUGCCCUUGCUGAUGGAAGGAGGUUUUCACUCAAAAUCUCACAAUACAUGGCCCCAUUCAUUCUUUCCUUUACACGGAUCAGUCGCCCUGGUCCCUUUGCAGAAAAACAGCCCCUAGGCAUGAUGUUUCCACCCCCAUGCUUCACAGUAGGUAUUGUGUUCUUUGGAUGCAACUCAGCAUUCUUUGUCCUCCAAACACGACGAGUUGAGUUUUUACCAAAAAUGUUAUAUUUUGGUUUCAUCUGACCAUAUGACAUUAUCCCUAUCUUCUUCUGGAUCAUCCAUGCUCUCUAGCAAACUUCAGACGGGCCUGGACAUGUACUGGCUUAAUCAGGGGGACACGUCUGGCACUGCGGGAUUUGAGUCCCUGGCGACGUAGUGUGUUACUGAUGGUAGGCUUUGUUACUUUGGUCCCGUGUGGUACUGGGAUUUUUGCUUACCGUUCUUGUGAUCAUUUUGACCCCACAGGGUGAGAUCUUGCGUGGAGCCCCAGAUCGAGGGAGAUUAUCAGUGGUCUUGUAUGUCUUCCUAAUAAUUGCUCCCACAGUUGAUUUCUUCAAACCAAGCUGCUUACCUAUUGCAGAUUCAGUCUUCCCAGCCUGGUGCAGGUCUACAAUUUUGUUUCUGGUGUCCUUUGACAGCUCUUUGGUCCUGGCCAUAGUGGAGUUUGGAGUGUGACUGUUUGAGGUUGUGGACAGGUGUCUUUUAUACUGAUAACAAGUUCAAACAGGUGCCAUUAAUACAGGUAACGAGUGGAGGACAGAGGAGCCUCUUAAAGAAGAAAUUACAGAUCUGUGAGAGCCAGAAAUCUUGCUUGUUUGUAGGUGACCAAAUACUUAUUUUCCACCAUAAUUUGCAAAUAAAUUCAUUAAAAAUCCUACAAUGUGAUUUUCUGGAAUUAUUUUUUUCAUUUUGUCUGUCAUAGUUGAAGUGUACCUAUGAUGAAAAUUAGAGGCCUCUGUCAUCUUUUAAAGUGGGAGAACUUGCACAAUUGGUGGCUGACAAUACUUUUUUGCCCCACUGUACAUUUAAACAAAGUUUAAAAAAAAAUCCUGACAUUUAAUCAUAGUAUAAAUUCCCUGUCUUAGGUCAGUUAGGAUCACCACUUUAUUUUAAGAAUGUGAAAUGUCAGAAUAAUAGUAGAGAGAAUGAUUUAUUUCAGGUUUUAUUUCUUUCAACACAUUCCCAGUGGGUCAGAAGUUUACAUACACUCAAUUAGUAUUUGGUAGCGUUGCCUUUAAAUUGUUUAACUUGGGUCAAACGUUUCGGGUAGCCUUCCACAUGCUACCCACAAUAAGUUGGGUGAAUUUUGGCCCAUUCCUCCUGACAGAGAAGGUGUAACUGAGUCAGGUUUAUAGGCCUCCUUGCUCACACACACUUUUUCAGUUCAGCCCACACAUUUUCUAUAGGAUUGAGGUCAGGGCUUUGUGAUGGCCACUCCAAUACCUUGACUCUGUUGUGUCCUUCAGCCAUUUUGCCACCACUUUGGAAGUAUGUUUGGGGUCAUUGUCCAUUUGGUAGACCCAUUUGCGACCAAGCUUUCAUUUCCUGACUGAUGUGGUACCUUCACGCCUUUGGAAAUUGCUCCCAAGGAUGAACCAGACUUGUGGAGGUCUACACAUUUUUUUUUCCUGAGGUCUUGGCUGAUUUCUUUUGAUUUUCCCAUGAUGUCAAGCAAAAGUUUAAAUACAUCCACAGGUACACCUCCAAUUGACUCAAAUGAUGUCAAUUAACCUAUCAGAAGCUUCUAAAGCCAUUAAUUGUCAAAGCUGUUUUAAGGCACAGUCUAUUUAGUGUAUAUAAACUUCUGACCCACUGGAAUUGUGAUAGAUUAUUUAACUUAUAAAUCAAUGUGUCUGUAAACAAUUGUUGGAAAAAUUACUUGUGUCAUGCACAAAGUAGAGGCCCUAACCGACUUGCCAAAACUAUAGUUUGUUAACAAGAAAUUUGUGGAGUGGUUGAAAAACGAGUUUUAAUGACUCCAACCUAAGUGUAUGUAAACUUCUAACUUCAACUGUAUCAUUGUUAUUGUAAAGUUCCUUCAUUCCAUCUGGGCCCAGAUGUUUCUCUGAGAUAAUAUAGGACUAAGAAUCUCCCUGACCAUGUGACCUAGCCAGAAAAACCUCAGGGGCCUGUGAACUCACCUUGAGAGAAACUUGUUUUCCAAACGUGACGUCACCGGACACAGUCAGGUGAUCCAGCUCCAGCAUAUCAGGGAUGCUCUCGAACCGCGUCUGGUAUUCCUGGACCUUAGAACACACAGACAGACAGACGGGUAUGUCAUGCUGAGUUUAGAGCAGUAACAAAUACUUUGAGGAGAGGGAGGGAAAGAGAGAGCUCGAUCUUGGUAUGUUUAUUCCCACUGGAUGACCUAUAUAAACAGAGGGUGAAUGUACAACAAUAGAGCAUCAGCUCAACACCAACAGAACAUGUAUGCAGAGUUUGGUGUGUUUAGCUUUAGUGCAACUGUAGGAGGAUACAGUGAGAAGAAAAGGACAAGGAUCUUAGAUUCCAUACGUAUGCCCCAUUCAAAUGUACUGUGAAUAAAGGUCACCAUGCCCCAUUCAAAUGUACUGUGAAUAAAGGUCAUGUCCCAUUCAAAUGUACUGUGAAUAAAAAAGUCAGCAUGUCCCAUUCAAAUGUACUGUGAAUAAAAAAGUCAGCAUGCCCCAUUCAAAUGUACUGUGAAUAAAGGUCAGCAUGCCCCAUUCAAAUGUACUGUGAAUAAAAGUCAGCAUGCCCCAUUCAAAUAUACUGUGAAUAAAAGUCAGCAUGCCCCAUUCAAAUGUACUGUGACUAAAGGUCAGCAUGCCCCAUUCAAAUGUACUGUGAAUAAAGGUCAGCAUGCCCCAUUCAAAUGUACUGUGAAUAAAGGUCAGCAUGCCCCAUUCAAAUGUACUGUGAAUAAAGGUCAGCAUGCCCCAUUCAAAUGUACUGUGAAUAAAGGUCAGCAUGCCCCAUUCAAAUGUACUGUGAAUAAAGGUCAACAUGUAGAGGAUGUACCUGAACCACCAAACACCAAGAGGAGGUGUUUCAUCUGGACGGGCUAUUCAACUAUGGUCCUUACGAAACAUUUGUUUUUCCUUCUCUCCUAAUCAGGGACUGAUUCAGACCGCACACAUGUUGAGUGAACUCUUUCACCAAUCAGAGACAUUCAUUAAACAAUUAAAGGGAAGUCCAGGAUUUUACAACUUGAUGUAAGAUGGUUCCUCACCCUGAA